rnacentral:lncRNA from 12 species
UGAGAGUGUGUGCUGAAGGGAAGACAGGCUUAUGAUAGGUUGUGUUGAGGACUGACCCAAAUUACGGAAGACAGUUGGAAAGAACUUAAACAGAACUUUGUUGCUGCAAGGAAUGGAUGCCAGAAACGGAAGGCAAUCAGAAUAGAUCUUUAUUUUCUGACAAUAGCUGGGUUUGAAUUAAAUAGUUUCAACUCAAACAGUGAAACUCAGUUAUGAAACCAUGUACAAGAAAUCUGAAAGGUAUUAAAUUUGCACAAAGAAGGAAAGUCUG